GAUUAACGCUGGCGGCGUGCAUAACACAUUCAAGUCGAACGGUGAAGGGACUUCGGUCCCGGAUCAGUGGCGGACGGGUGAGUAACGCGUGAGCAACCUGCCCUUGUGUGGGGGAUAACGUUUGGAAACGGACGCUAAUACCGCAUAACCCAAUAGUACGGCAUCGUACAGUUGGCAAAGAUUUAUUGCACAAGGAUGGGCUCGCGUCUGAUUAGGUAGUUGGUGGGGUAACGGCCUACCAAGCCGACGAUCAGUAGCCGGACUGAGAGGCUGAACGGCCACAUUGGAACUGAGAUACGGUCCAGACUCCUACGGGAGGCAGCAGUGGGGAAUAUUGGGCAAUGGGGGAAACCCUGACCCAGCGACGCCGCGUGAGGGAAGAAGGUCUUCGGAUUGUAAACCUUAAUAAGCAAGGAAAAGAAAAAGAUGGUACUUGCAGAGUAAGCCACGGCUAACUACGUGCCAGCAGCCGCGGUAACAC
rnacentral:rRNA from 1 species